AAUUUGUAAUCGGGAUUCCUUUGGAAUAACGAGUUUCCAUUCGAAUUCUGAGUGUAAUGGAUUGUUGGAUUUCAUGUAACGGUAAAGGUUUUUAUUUUUUAUAGUAUAAUUAGGAAAAUUAGAUGGAAGUUCAAGGCAUCCGUUGUAAAUUUUUAAAUACCAAGCGUCAUCAGUAUUACUAAAGUCAGUAAAAGUAAUAUUAGCUACUGGGACUGUUCUAGAUAAAGCAUCAGGGAUUAUGUGAUCUUUACCGCGACGAUGUUUUAUUGCGAAAUUAAAAGAUGAAAGUCGGACUCCCCAUCUAGCUAAGCGUCUUGUUGGGUUUGAAAGGGAAAGAAACCAUUUUAAGGCAGCGUGGUCCGUAAAAACAUUACAUGUCAACCCGUUCUCAAUAUAGCAGCGCCAGUGCUCUAAAGCAGU
rnacentral:lncRNA from 1 species